rnacentral:rRNA from 1 species
GACGAACGCUGGCGGCGUGCUUAACACAUGCAAGUCGAACGGAAAGGCCCUGCUCUUGUGGGGUUCUCGAGUGGCGAACGGGGGAGUAUCACGUGAGUGACCUGCCCUUGACUGUGGGGUAAAUUCUGUGGACUGGGGUUAUUAUCGGACAUAAGCUCUUUCUGCAUGGGGGUUGUGGUUAAAUUUCGCAGGUUGGGGAUGGACUCGCGGCUUAGCAGCUUGUUGGUGAGGUAGUGGCGUACCAAGGCUUUGACGGGUAGCCGGCCUGAGAGGGUGACCGGCCACAUUGGGCCUGAGAUACGGGCAAGACUCAUACGGGAGGCAGCAGUGGGGAAUAUUGCACAAUGGGCGGAAGCAUGAUGCAGCAACGCCGCGUGCGGGAUGACGGCCUGCGGGUUGUAAACCGCUUUCGCCUGUGACGAAGCGUGAGUGACGGUAAUGGGUAAAGAAGCACCGGCUAACUACGUG